UUUUCAAAAUGGCGUCUAUAGAAUAGUGAAUUUUAUCAAAUUACGCAUUUAUUUUUCACAAAACUAAAUUUACUAAGAGAAGCUUGGAUCUAUAAGAAGGACAAAUGUAAGAUCCUUGCAUUGGUGCUGCCAUUUCUCUCCAGAAUUAAAGGGACUUCUCACAUGCAGUGGUAACUGGACCAAUAUCUAUACCAAUAUCCAUAAAUGUUGAUUCAAUAUUUGUUUCCUGUUGACUGCAAUUUGUAGCAAAUCCACUGCUGAUGGCAGGUAGACAAAGUGUAUGGAAGAUAUGUCAAGAGUUUGGAAAGAAUACUAAAACAUAACAAUUCUAUUAGAGAGGCAAAGCAGCUUUUUUUUUAUAAAUACGCGGAAAAAAUGAUAAAAUACGCCAGAAACCUUAGCAAGAAAAACGCGCUAGUGUAAACAGCGUUGCUUGAUCUUGAUCGAAGCGCAAGAAAUGAUCCUGGACGGAAGCCUUAUGCCAGAAACCUUACCAAGCAAAACGCGCUAGUGAAAGCAGCGUUGUCUGAUCUUGAACGAAGCGCAAGAAAUGAUCCUGGACGGAAGCCUUAUUACAAAGCUGCCUGUUCAUCAGCGCUUUUAAAAUGCAUAUUGAAAGGAAAUGGUAAAUACAGCGAUGAUUCUUCCCUUAUUGAAUUUACAACCGUAAUGUGAACAACAUAUAAAUGACGAGCAAAAAAUGGGAUUCUCGAAAAUAUAUAAUUAUAUAUUGAAGGAUGAUCCUGACACUCUCCUCCGGUCCGAGACCGAGGCAAAAUACCCAAUGAUUAUAGUGACUCCUGGGCCGUCAGACGACAUCGUGAAGAUUAACGGAGCCGUGGUUUUUGCCGAAGGCCAAAACGUGAUCACUUUUAAUGAAACGGUGACAAUGGACGCAGCCUUACUAACACUGCAUGCCAUUUAUUAU